rnacentral:miRNA from 1 species
GGGUCUGGGGAAGGCGGGAGAGGGAACAGAACAACAGCUAACUGAACAACAGCUAACUCUACGUCCUCCUCCACAG